rnacentral:rRNA from 1 species
GAUGAACGCUGACAGAAUGCUUAACACAUGCAAGUCCACUUGAACUUCGGUUUGGGUGGCGGACGGGUGGGUAACGCGUAAAGAACUUGCCUCACAGCUAGGGACAACAUUUGGAAACGAAUGCUAAUACCUGAUAUUAUGAUUUUAGGGCAUCCUAGAAUUAUGAAAGCUAUAUGCGCUGUGAGAGAGCUUUGCGUCCCAUUAGCUAGUUGGAGAGGUAACGGCUCACCAAGGCGAUGAUGGGUAGCCGGCCUGAGAGGGUGAACGGCCACAAGGGGACUGAGACACGGCCCUUACUCCUACGGGAGGCAGCAGUGGGGAAUAUUGGACAAUGGACCAAGAGUCUGAUCCAGCAAUUCUGUGUGCACGAUGAAGUUUUUCGGAAUGUAAAGUGCUUUCAGUUGGGAAGAAAAAAAUGACGGUACCAACAGAAGAAGUGACGGCUAAAUACGUG